CCUACGGGAGGCAGCAGUGAGGAAUAUUGGUCAAUGGGCGAGAGCCUGAACCAGCCAAGUCGCGUGAAGGAUGACGGCCCUACGGGUUGUAAACUUCUUUUGUCAGGGAGCAAUUGAGUCCACGUGUGGGCUUAGCGAGAGUACCUGAAGAAAAAGUAUCGGCUAACUCCGUGCCAGCAGCCGCGGUAAUACGGAGGAUGCGAGCGUUAUCCGGAUUUAUGGGGUUUAAAGGGUGCGUAUGCGGAAUAUAAAGUCAGCGGUAAAAAUUCGGGGCUCAACCCCGUCGUGCCGUUUAAACUGAUGUUCUUGAGUGGGCGAGAAGUAUGCGGAAUGCGGGGUGUAGCGGUGAAAUGCAUAGAUAUCACGCAGAACUCCGAUUGCGAAGGCAGCAUACCGGCGCCCAACUGACGCUGAAGCACGAAAGCGUGGGUAUCGAACAGGAUUAGAUACCCUGGUAGUC
rnacentral:rRNA from 1 species